UACGUAGGUGGCAAGCGUUGUCCGGAUUUAUUGGGUUUAAAGGGUGCGUAGGCGGUUCUAUAAGUCAGCGGUGAAAUCCGGCAGCUUAACUGUCGAUGUGCCAUUGCUACUGCAGGACUUGAGUACAGACGAGGUAGGCGGAAUUGACGGUGUAGCGGUGAAAUGCUUAGAUAUCGUCAAGAACACCGAUAGCGAAGGCAGCUUACUAGACUGUAACUGACGCUGAUGCACGAAAGUGUGGGGAUCAAACAGG
rnacentral:rRNA from 1 species